rnacentral:rRNA from 1 species
UACGGAGGGUGCAAGCGUUUGUCCGGAUUCAUUGGGUUUAAAGGGUGCGCAGGCGGGAGAUUAAGUCAGGGGUGAAAGACGGUGCUCAACAUCGCAGUGCCCUUGAUACUGGUCUUCUUGGAGUACCUUGAGGAGAGGCGGAAAUGGGUGGAUAUAGCGGUGAAAUGCAUAGAUACACCUAACUACCGCAUUGCGAAGGCAGCUUACUAUGGUAUGAUUGACGCUGAGGCACGAAAGCGUGGGGAUCAAACAGG